AAUUUAUUAGUUUAUUUAAAACAUUACAUUUUCAUUGUAAAAAUAAAAAAUUUAUUUUUUAUAAAUUA
rnacentral:tRNA from 1 species